rnacentral:rRNA from 1 species
GUAGGUGGCAAGCGUUGUCCGGGAAUUAUUGGGGCGUAAAGCGCGCGCAGGCGGUUCUUUAAGUCUGAUGCGAAAGCCCACGGGCUCAACCGUGGAGGGUCAUUGGAAACUGGAGAACUUGAGUACAGAAGAGGAAAGCGGAAUUCCACGUGUAGCGGUGAAAUGCGUAGAGAUGUGGAGGAACACCAGUGGCGAAGGCGGCUUUCUGGUCUGUAACUGACGCUGAGGCGCGAAAGCGUGGGGAGCAAACAGGAUUAGAUACCCUGGUAGUCCACGCCGUAAACGAUGAGUGCUAAGUGUUAGGGGGUUUCCGCCCCUUAGUGCUGCAGCUAACGCAUUAAGCACUCCGCCUGGGGAGUACGGCCGCAAAGGCUGA